GAUAAACGCUGGCGGCGCACAUAAGACAUGCAAGUCGAACGGACUUAACUCGAAGUUUACUUUGAGAGCGGUUAGUGGCGGACUGGUGAGUAACGCGUGAGCAACCUGCCUAUUAGAGGGGAAUAACAGUGAGAAAUCACUGCUAAUACCGCAUAUGCUUACACUAUCACAUGAUAGAGUGAGGAAAGGAGCAAUCCACUAGUAGAUGGGCUCGCGUCUGAUUAGCUAGUUGGUGAGGUAACGGCCCACCAAGGCAACGAUCGGUAGCCGGACUGAGAGGUUGAACGGCCACAUUGGGACUGAGACACGGCCCAG
rnacentral:rRNA from 1 species